CGCGUAGGCGGGUUUCCAAGUCGGUUGUGAAAUCCCUCAGCUCAACUGAGGAACUGCAUCCGAUACUGUUUGUCUUGAGGACGGGAGGGGAGAGUGGAACUUCUGGUGAAGCGGUGAAAUGCGUAGAUAUCAGAAGGAACGCCGGUGGCGAAAGCGACUCUCUGGCCCGUAUCUGACGCUGAGGCGCGAAAGCUUGGUAGCAAACG
rnacentral:rRNA from 1 species